GACGAACGCUGGCGGCGUGCCUAAUACAUGCAAGUUGAGCGCUGAAGGUUGGUACUUGUCCCGACUGGCUGAGCAGCGAACGGGUGAGUAACGCGUGGGGAAUCUGCCUUUGAGCGGGGGACAACAUUUGGAAACGAAUGCUAAUACCGCAUAAAAACUUUAAACACAAGUUUUAAGUUUGAAAGAUGCAAUUGCAUCACUCAAAGAUGAUCCCGCGUUGUAUUAGCUAGUUGGUGAGGUAAAGGCUCACCAAGGCGAUGAUACAUAGCCGACCUGAGAGGGUGAUCGGCCACAGUGGGACUGAGACACGGCCCAAACGCCUACGGGAGGCAGCAGUAGGGAAUCUUCGGCAAUAGACGAAAGUCUGACCGAGCAACGCCGCGUGAGUGAAGAAGGUUUUCGGAUCGUAAAACUCUGUUGGUAGAGAAGAACGUUGGUGAGAGUGGAAAGCUCAUCAAGUGACGGUAACUACCCAGAAAGGGACGGCUAACUACGUG
rnacentral:rRNA from 1 species